GUAGUGGCAAGCGUUGUCCGGAAUUAUUGGGCGUAAAGCGCGCGCAGGUGGGUUCUUUAAGUCUGAUGUGAAAGCCCCCGGGCUCAACCGGGGAGGGUCAUUGGAAACUGGGGAACUUGAGUGCAGGAGAGGAAAGUGGAAUUCCACGUGUAGCGGUGAAAUGCGUAGAUAUGUGGAGGAACACCAGUGGCGAAGGCGACUUUCUGGCCUGUAACUGACACUGAGGCGCGAAAGCGUGGGGAGCAAACAGGAUUAGAUACCCUGGUAGUCCACGCCGUAAACGAUGAGUGCUAAGUGUUGGGGGGGUUUCCGCCCCUCAGUGCUGCAGCUAACGCAUUAAGCACUCCGCCUGGGGAGUACGGUCGCAAGACUG
rnacentral:rRNA from 1 species